rnacentral:misc_RNA from 1 species
GGAAGUAAAUCGUAACAAGGUUUCCGUAGGUGAACCUGCGGAAGGAUCAUCAUCGUACAAAAUGUGAGGGGCAUGCGAGGGCUGUCGCUGACCCAAACGUCGUGCACGCCCGAGUGUGUCCUCUUGCAUAAUAAUCCAUCUCACCCUUUGUGCAUCACCGCGUGGGCGCCCUUCGGGAUCAUCUCGGAGGGGGGCUCGCGUUUUCACACAAACCCCCCUUUUAAAAGUGUAGAAUGACCACAUUUAUGCAAUCAAUACAACUUUCAACAACGGAUCUCUUGGCUCUC